ensembl:lncRNA
GAAACUUGUCUGCCAUGCAUGACCUUUGGCGAGCAUUCACACAGGCCAAAAAUGUUUUCUCCUUCUGCGCCUAUUCAUUUGACAUACCUCUUCCCCAGAUUUCUUUGUCCCUAAUCUUCCCAUGUUUUCUUUCCCUGACAGGCAGUCAUUGUCCGUAAAUUAAGAUUGACCCAUACAUCAGGCCAUUUCUCCUCCCAUGCAAAGUGGGCAGCCACAUGUCUACCUGAUGUUCUGCCCACUGGGAAAAUUUCCCUUUGCCUCACUUUCUGGGCCAUCUCUGAGAGAGGCUGAAUGCAGUGACCGUCCCCACUGCUGGAGCCAACACCCCCCCAGGCCCAUCUGUAUACCAAGCUUGUGCCUCCUCAUCUCUCCACUGUUCAUAGGGAAUCCCCACUCGGCCUGAAGUGUAAGUUGAAUGAGAGGUAGCAACGAAUCAGCCUAGGCACCGCGGCAGUCUGAGCCACCUGAUCAUGCAGUCACUUGUGUCUUGCCAAAAUCCAGAAUUGAGAAGGAAACAAGAACAACGGCAGGAGAUGCUCCCUUCCUCUGCUUGAAGUCUCGGCUUAACAUCGCUCUGUGAGAUUAUCAGUGGACCUGAAAAUGGGAAGAGUCCGUCCUUUGAUUUGCCAAAAUGUAUCACCAAGAACUAACACACAAAGCUUAAAGCUUAACAGCAUACGUUUGUAGUCACGUAGACUUGAGUUCAAAUUGUGGCUCUGCCAUCACUGGCUCCUUGACCUUAGAAAAGCCAAUAACCUCUCUGUGGUCUACAAAAUGGGGAUUACCACUCCACCCACCUUAUAGGGCUGUAAUGAAGACGAAACACAAUAACACGUCACAGUGGUUAACGCAGUACCCGACUCAACGCAAACAGCUGGAACCAGAGCAGACUUAAAAGCAGAGUUAAACUCAACACUCCUUGCUAAGGAAACCCGAUCAUGAUUCUCAGCCGAGGCCAUCUCCAGCAUCCUGUCUGGGACCGGGCAGAGGGUUAGCUGAGAGAUGCUGGGAAGUCCGCUUUGGCUGGUGGUUCCAACAACACUUCUAGUCCUGAGACAAAAACCAGGAGAGUACAGUUGUUCCUGAUUGGUGGUAAGAUAACACUCAAAUUGAAAACGAUGAUUCGUCAGCUUUAUGGAGAGAACACAGGCUCACACCUCCCAAUAUGUCUCAGUCUGCAAUUAAUUGUCAAUGUGCCAUUAGAAGCCAGCCUCACAGUUAUUAAACAAAGCAAAGAUGGUGAAAACAAAACAAGUUUAUGAUCUACAACAAAGAAAAAGAGCCAAUAGAAUCGGGGACAAUACUCCAUGUGAAAAAAUAUUGUCCAACUGGAAGAGAGGAAGCAACUGAUUAUUAUGCAAAAAAAAGAGGCAACUACAAAAAAGAAUGGGGAGAGGAGGAAAAGGCACACGGAUUGAAACAAUCGUGGUCAGAAAGAGCAGGAGCUGAUGUCAUACUUGGCACUCGCUGAAGUAAUACUCAUUCCUCUGAGGGAUGGUUGAAUACGUUAAGGAAAAAUAAAAAAUAUACUAUUUGCAACCAUACCAGACUUGAUCAGGAAUGAACUCCAGAGACAUCUAUGCAUGUGGAAGAAGAUAGACACCAACCAGUUUGCGUCACAACCUGGCUGUCACGUCCCACUUACCGAAGAACUUACCACUGACGGUUUGAAAGAAAAUGCAUAUUUGUUUUUAUCAAAUAAACUCAGGAAAAUAGUACUAAAAAAUCUAUGAGUUUCAAAAGAGGUUUGGCUAAGUGCUUACAACGUCCACUGCAGUGUUUGAAGCAGCUGCCCUCCUUAGCAAAGUUGCCUGGGAACUGACCAGCCCAAAGAAGGCCUGGACCACCGUAUUUCAGUCAAAGUGUUCAGGAGCAGAAGCAAGAGAUAGCCAAACUACGCACAUCUCCAGUCUAUAAAUGCGGACUGCUAUAAGUUGAAAUAUCCUAAAUCGUCUUUGCGAGUCUCCUUUUCUUAGCUGUUCAUAAUCGUGGAUUUCCACUCAUGCAUCUCACGUUAUCCCCUUGGAAGGAAUUCACUAAAAUGUUCAUGGUAUAUUCACUACACUUGGGUGCACACCAAGUCAACAUUUAUUAGAUGUUUCUGAAUAUGAUUAUUUCAAUAGAUAUUUUUGGCAUUGUUUUUUAAUUAAAGAAAUUGUUUUUGUAUCCUAUCCUAUUCUAACUGUCCCAGCUUGCCCCUCAAGGAGUGUAAUCUCUUCCUUCUUCAGGUCUUGAUGGCUUCUGUACCUCUCUUAGGAAAUACUCUAUUUUACCUUUAUUAUUGUUUGUGUUUGUAUUUAUUUCAUGCAUUAGGCCGAGAACAAUUUAAGGCAGGAUUUGUCUGUCUCAGCUUUGUAUGAUCUCUAACACUUUGCAAGUGGUAGGAACUCCGGAAAUAUGUUUUGAGAUUAAUUGGAUACAAUUAUUUGGCAUAGACGAUAUGAGUUAUGCUGUCCUAGAUAACUAGUAAAAAAUAUCCAAAAUUGCAUUCAUGAUAUCAUUCACAUCCAUCAAUCAAAAGCCUGCUCAUUGCCCUGCAUUUUUAAUGAUUAAUGCCACCAACAAUCUCCCAGAUACCUCCCUAUCACCUUCAUAUAUUCUUUCCUUCGUUACCCACCUAGUUCUGUUGUUGCCACUUCUACAGCAACUCUUCCCUCUUCUAAUUUCUUCUGUCUUGCUAUAAGUGCUUUAUUUCAUAAUAGACUCCAUGUAAGACCUUCCUAAUUUGGCUUACUCCCUUCUGGUGCAUCCUUCCCACCACUGCCAAGGUAACCUUCCUAACACAUAAGAUCUUACUUGUUUUCUUCCUCAAAAACCUCAAAACACUCUCAGUUACCCAAAACCUACAUGGCUUUUCCCAAGGCCACUAAUCUCAUCUCAAGCCAACUCUCGGCCUCAUUUCCAGCUAAUUAGAGCCACAAGUCCCACACUCUGGCCACAUGGGUCAUUCACCAGUUCCCAACAUCUUAUACACUUUCAUCGCUUGUCUUUAGGGAACUGCCUAGACAGUUCCCUAAAAUUUUAAAAAUUCUAUAUGAAGGUCAGAUUUAUAUAGAAUCAAGUUUAACAGAACGAGGUAAAUGGGAGGUACCGGAAACUUCUUCAGCUAUCAGCAGUCAUGCAUUUCUUUAGCAAUAAGAGUACAAAAGAAGUAAAGCUAGAAGCAGAACCACUCAACAUCAUCCCAAUGAUGUAUACCUCGUAGGUAUCAAACUCCUGGACAGCAAAAAAGUGACUGCACAUUUUGAUCCUGGAAGGGGAGCAAUUUUUGUCUCUUUUGUUUCCUCAUCUCCCAGGUGCCUAGAACAAUGCCUGCCACAUAGUAGAAACUAAAUAAAGACCUGUUGAAGGAGGGAAAAUAUCACGAGGCCUAUUCUAUAUGGAAGAAAUUGAAGUGGAUGCAUUCAAUGGGUGCCCACUCUGCACCUGGCAGUGCAUGAACACUGGGGACAGCAAUAGGCAUAAGGAAGCCAUGCCCUGCUCCUGAGGAGCUUACAGUCCAGAGAAUAAGUGGAGUGGGAAAUACUUGAUGCUAGGCCUUGGUUCCCUCAACCGUCAAGGGAGAAAUUAGACAAAACCCUCUACAGUCUCUGGUCCCUUCUUGUCUUAAACAUGCUGUUUACUUUCCCAGAUGAAAGUUCCUAGAGGCCCCAGGCUGUGCUCUCCCAUCUUUGGAUUCCCUAUGGUACCUGGUGCGGUACCUUGCAACUAAUUGUUGCUUAUUACCUUAUUUUUUUUAACUGAACUGAUUGGGAUACAAUUGUCUAAUUUUUAAAACAGAAAUAAAAUUAGAGGGCGAUAAAGAAGAAAACUUCUCUGGCCAUUAUCGUAAGAAAAGAGUGUCCUCAAUAAAUAGAUCCUAGACUAUGAUGGGAGGCAGCACAGAGGAGAAGACACAGAAAACCUUCCACUUUCAGACAAGGACUCCCCACUUUGGGCAAAUUGCUUAGCCACCUUAAGCCUCGACUUCCUCAAAUACAAUAAGAAUAAUCAUACCUACCUCACAGGGUUGAGAGAACCUCAUCAGAUAACGAAUGUGAAAUUGCUUUCUAAGUACGAAGAAGAUUCACUAACAUUAGUUAAUAUCGUUACCACUGAUUCCCAUGCGUGGCUGCAGAUCCACCCCGCACCUCCACUGCCUUCUUCCCUGACCCUAGUCAACUGGGUAGAGGAUGGAAGGAUAUUUAACUCUUAACUUCCCUACAUUUAAACUAUUGACUGUCUCACAUCUAGAAUUUAAAAUGUAGCUAAAAUCAGGUUUCCCAUUUUUGGAAAUAUUUGUUGAUUAACUAAUUUGGGAAAAGAAUAUAAGAAAGUCAAGAAAGUAGGUAAAAAUUAUGCAUACAUUUGGUUCAUUCCAUUUAGAAAGAAAUAGGACAUACCAAAAAACAUAAGGAAAUUAUUCAAAGAAGGAAAAUAAAAGUUCACGAAGAUAUUCACUGCAAUCUUAUUUACAUCAGUGGAAAACAAUGACUUUCUUAUCCAGCACUGGAGGAGCAUCAAAGGCCCCUACUGUCCUCGAACCUCAGGGUGACUGCCUUUGGGGAAGAAGAAAUUAUGGAAUGGAGGUUCUUGAGCUCACCUUCAGUAUUCUGGAUUCAGUAGGUUUGGUUCAACAACUAGACAUUUGUAUUCAGCACCAAUGGCCUAAGCAAUGGCUGUGGUACAAUCAUUUAAUGGACAUUUUAAAAAAGAUAAUGUCGUGACAUGGAAAAACACAAUUAUAAUUGCUUCGGUGAUUUGAAAAUCUUUAAAAAUAGUAUAAUUAUAAUUUCCUAGAUGACUUUAAUGUCUGUAUUCAUUCAGACCAAGCAAUAUGUGGAUUUGGGAUUUUAUGAACACUUCAGAAAAAAACCCAGCCAACAGUAGUGGUUUCUGCCCUUCCCAUCAAGGCUUCUAAUUAGUGUAACUGAGUAAAUACUUCCUGGAUCUUAGGGGAAUAGCUUAGAUUUGUCAAUAGACAAUAGGACAAGACACAGUACAGCAGCAUAACCAUUAACCUCUGUCACAAAAAAAAACAAAACAACAACUAUAGCAACUACUACCACAAAUUUAGAACCCAGAAAUGUUCACACUGUGACAAUUCAGUGUGCAGACAUUAUAAUCACACAUAUAUAACACCAUUGUGGCUUUUCCAGAACCAUCCGAAAGCUUAAAGAACUUUGACCUUUAUCCACCGCUGGUGUUGCUAAAUUAAAAGGUUUAGGUAUCUUUUAAUCCCUUAGCACCUUCAGCUGAAAUGCAUUCUCUGGUACUAUGGAUAAGAAGAAAUGAACCAAGAAGCUGGCUCAUUUAUAAAAUAGUGAUUUUUAAUAGUCUUCUGUUUGGAGCCCAAUCUUAACAGUUAAUCUUGGGUAAUAAAGCAUUUAAUAGAUAAGUACUUCUUCCCCGUGCCUCUUCAUUUCCCGGGGAGGGCAAUCUAUGUAAAGCUCACAUUUCCCAUUGAAAUGGGACGUGUUGGAUGCUAGAAUUGUUCCUAGGUUAAGUCAAACCAAUUGUUACUUAAGAGAAUCAGGCCAAAGUGGAUCUUCCUCUCUAUUCUCUAAUACCUACCUCUAAGUCCUCCUUUGUCAAGAGCAAACAUAGCCACGGAAUGCCUUAGAUAUAGUGGAGCACAGAAAUUGCUUUCUUCUCAGAACUGACAAAAAGGAAGAAUUUACUCACUAACUCAAUUACUUGUGAUAACUAGAAACAUAAUGCAAAGUCCCAGCCAUGGUCUGGUCCUCACAAUAGGAGCUAAGGAUAAAGUCCCACCAAAGAUACUAUUUACAACAAGGUAGGAUGUAGGAAUUUGGAUGGCGUUAAAAAUAUAUUCCUUCAUCCCAUACCAGCAACAAAG